rnacentral:lncRNA from 1 species
GGGCCACCCCACAUGGACUCGGGAACCGCCGAGCUUCACCCACAAGGGCCCACGGCCCAUCCUAUCACGGAUGAAAAGAUUACAGGACUGACAAUGAGGCCCUGGAGGGAUCUGAUGCAGCUGGCGGGGAGAAAGGGAACACGGUGUUUGGUUUUAUAAAUUCCAUUUUGGUGGAAUAGGAAGGCUGGAGUGCAGUGGCAUGAUCUCAACUCACUGUAACCCUCCGCCUCCCAGGCUCAACGAUCCUCCUGCCUCGGCCUCCCUAGCAGUUCGAACUAUAGGCGUGCACCACGACAUCCAGCUAAUUUUUGUAUCUGUUGGAGACACAGGGUCCUGCCAUGUUGUCCAGGCUGGUCUCCAAUUCCAGAGGCAAUAAUUGGGAGGCCAAGGCGAUCUGCCUACCAAUUAUUUUCUCUUAAAUGCAUUUUAAAGCUACAAAUUUUCUCCUGACUGCUUCAUGAAUUUCUGGCUUAUCUUGAUCAUCAUGAGGACGGAGAAACUCAAACUAUGUGUUUCCUGUGCUUUCACACUACAACAAUCAACACAGAAGACUGACGGCGGAGGGGGGUUCUCCAUACAGCAAGCAAGCAAUCAGUUCUGCAGUGGACACCAGCUGAGUGUACUCCAAUUCAAUUUUUACACUAUUUAUCAGGAGAUCCCACAGGUUGAGGACUGAGUCUACCAGACUGCCCCCACUUCAAAUGCCAGUUCCAAGUCUGGGCCUCCAGAACUUCUGACCAACCAUUUCCAAGCUGGGGUUCCCAUGGCUUCCUCCUUUGCAUUGUAUUAAUUUGCUAGAGCAGUUCAUGAAACUCAGAGAAACACUUGGGUUUACUGGUUUAUAACAAAAAAUACAGAUGAAAAGAUGCAUAAGGUAAAGUAUGGGGGAAGGAGCAUGGAGCUUCCAUGCACCUCCACUGGGUGCGCCGCCCUUCAGGAACCUCUACAUGUUCAGCUAUCCAGAAGCUCUCCAAGCCCUGUCCUUUUGGGUCUUUGUAUGGAGGCUCCAUUGCAUAGGAAUCACUGAUUAAACCAUUGGCCAUUGGUGAUCGGCUUAACCUUCAGCCCCUCUCCCCUCCCCGGAAGUUGGAGGUGGGCUGAAAGUCCCAACUCUCUAAUCCUCCCCUUGUUCUUUCUGGUCACCAGCCCCCAUCCUGAAGCUACCUAGGGGCUGCCAGACAUCAGUCAACUCAUUAAUAAACAAAACGACAUCACACUUUGGUGUUUCUAAGGAUUUUAGGAGUUGUAUGUCAGGAAAUGGGGUUGAAGACCAAAUAUAUAUUUCAUAAUAGCACAAUCUUUCAGCUUAUUUAUUUUCUCUUGGCUUUAUCUAUCCUGUUCUGGAUUUAUCCCUUGUUGAAUUUUUAUGUCAAUAAUCAAAUUUUAAAUUUCCAAGAUGUGGGAGCGCCCAGUUACUUGGCACAUUUUCCUGCCUCCUUGAACCAAAUGACCGCACUCACUGCUGGGGUCAAAGAUGUCAGUCACCAGCCAGACAUGGUGGUUCACACCUGUAAACCCAGAACUUUGGGAGGCCAAGGUCGGUGGAUCCCUUGAGCCCAGGAGUUUGAGACCAGCCUGGGCAAAAUGGUGAAACCCCAUCUCUAUAAAAAAUACAAAAAUUAGCUGGUUGUGGUGGUACAUGCCUGUGGUCCCAACUACUAGGGAGGCUGAGGUGGGAGGAGAGCUUGAGCCCAGGAGGUUGGGGCUGCAGUGAGUUGAGAUCGUGCCACUGCACUCCAGCAUGGGUAAUAGAGUGAGACCCGGUCUCUAGAAAAUAAAUAAAAAGACUUCAGUCACCAAGGUAAGGAGAUGGGUGGAUAUUCCUACUGUGGUACCUGAACUGUCAUCCUGUCAGUUGCCCCAAGACCAACUUUUGUCUCCUGGUUCCAAAACAUGUGGAUCAUUUUUUGGUCCACUCCUGUCUUCUGCAGAAGUCCUCCUUGGCACUCUUCACUGUUACCCCAUCUGCCAUCUUUGUCAAUUUUUUAUCAUUUCUAGGAAUUUGGGGUGGAAUAUGAGAAGAAAGCAACAUAUCUUCAGGACACAAUCUUGAAUCAGUAGCUAUUUUUCACCUGUGCAUUAGAGAUGGGAAACUUGCAGAGCACUUAACAGGACUUCCCUACGAUCACCAACUAGUAUUUAUUGAAUUGUUUAUUAGUAGGAAACAUUAAGCAAUUAUCCUUCAUAAAAACAUUAUGAAGUAAGUAAGCAUUACUAUAGUCCCAGUUUUAAGAUGAGAAAACACAGAUUAAAAACAUCCUAAAGAGCAGAGCCAAGUUACACUCCAGGUGGUCCGUCUCAGAAGCCUGAACUCUUUACUAAUACACUAUACGAUGGCAUAUCCGGGUGAUUUUGGGAACACAUUAUACUUCUACCCUGCCAGGAGGGCCAAAUGUAUUUACUUUGUCAUCUCUGUGCUGUAAGGGGCCACAUUUCUACCCAUCAACUCAAUCUACAUUACUCAAGCAUGCUUGUAAUUCAUAGGUUAUUUCCUCAUGCCAGGAAGAACAGUCACAGUUCUGUUUCAUUACGCUUCUAUCUUUGAGACUCAAAUUCCCCCCUCCCCACUAUAAAUUAUUUGCACAUACUAGUCUAGAAAAAUUUAAUAUGCCACUUUCCCCCACAAACACAUCUCCACAAUCAUAAACACCAUGAAAUAAACUUCUCUUAGACAAAUGAAAAAGUUUCUUACCUUUUUCUCCAGGCUAAGGAUCAAAAUUCAAGUUUUACUUGGUUAACUCUCCUGCUAAUCUGAAAACUGUCUUCUACUCUAUAGAUGCUUGCUGUUUCAGGGGGGCAGGCGGGAGUUAUUUAAGAAUAAUUUCCAUUACCUAAUACCUUGAUACUAAUGUGAAAAAAAUUAUGAAAAUCAGAGGUCAAACACUUAAAAAGAUCCAUGAAAAAUCUCCUACAAAGACACUUAAAUAAGUAAAAUCAUCAAAUUUUCAUAAUGUGACAGGGAGAAGAUUGAAGAAACCAAAAAAAGCAAGUAUGUUCCUUUGCUGGAACUAAUCCUAUGGCUAAUAUAUAUACAAGUUAAUCAGCAUACCUUUCUCCUGCUCAUUAUUCUACAUAUAAUAUGGGUCUUAAGUAAGUAAACAUUCCAAACUAGAUGAAAUACAGUUCCAGAGAGAAAUUAUAAGUAGUUUAAGACUUAACCCUUUGUAUUAGAGUUCUCCAGAGGGACAAAACUAAUAGGGGAGACAUAUAUCUAUAGAUAUAGAUAGAUGAUAAUAGAUUAGAUACAGAUAUAUUAAAAGGAGUUUAUGAAGGAGAAUUGGCUCACAUGAUUACAAGGCAAAGUCCUACAGUGGGCCGUCUGCAAGCUGAGGAAGAAAGAAGCCAGUAGUGGUUCAGUCUGAGUCCAAAAGCCUCAAGAGUAGGGAAGCCCACAGUGCAGCCUUCAGUCUGUGGCCUAAGGCCCAAAAGCCCCAGGCAAGCCACUGGUGUUAAGUCCAAGAGUCCAAAGGCCAAAGAACCUGGAGUCUGAUGUCCAAAGGCAGGAGGAAUGGAUGGAGGCAUCCAGCACAGGAGAGGGAUGAAAGCCAGAACUCUGCAAGCCAGCUUAGCCCACCUUCUCUCUCCUGCUUUGUUGUAGCUACCCUGGCAGCCGACUGGAUGGUGCCAACCCACAUUGAGGGACAUCUGUGACACAAAGACUGUGACACACCCACAGGUCGAUUAACAUGAGGACCCAACACCUAUUAAAACAUCCACACUCCUGAGAACACUAAAAACCAACCACCUCGUCAGGUCCCACCUCCAGUCUAGCUGAAUCAGGAAACCUCAGGAGAAGCACCUGGAAGCAGGUUUAACAAGCGCAAAGGUGACUCUUAUAAUUGGGAAAGUUUGGAACCAAGACAGGGUUCUUGUCCUGGAGGAAGUAUUUUCCUGUGGAGAAGGACCUGUAAACAGCCUAUGAAGUGCUCAGCUUUCACCAAGAAAAGAAAAACAUGGGCUGAUAGGGUUAAGGAAACGUUUGACUGAAGAGGAUUAAAUCCUGAAGGUUAGGGAUGUCUUUGGGCGCUGGGGUCUCUCAAUCACCAAAGAUCGACAUUACAGGCCAGGUAGCUCUUUGUCCCCCCAGAGGACUGUCCUGUGCCUUAUGCUUAGCACUCCUGGCCUCUGCCCAUUGGAUACUUCUAGCACCUCCCCCGCAACACACACACACCUGACAACCCAAAACAUCUACAGAUAUUGCCAAAUACUCCACAGGGGGUGGGGUGGUGGCAAUAUAUCUCCCUGUUUGAAGUCACUGGAAUGGAAGUUAGGGGAGGAUGGCUAAGUCAGGACUUGCAAAAAGGCUAAGGGACGAAAGCACAUGGCUAUAUUAGACAAAGUUUGUGACAGACGCCUGUAGGUAUAUGGUAAGGAAAACAGAUUAAAACACUAAGAAAUAGUAAGAGGUCGGACCGAGGGUUUCUCAUCUGUAUGGGAAAUCUCAUCUCGUUCAUUACUUUCAGAAACAAAAAGGAAAACGACUUUAAAGAUACAGGUUAAAGGCCGAAGGGGUGUAGAACCACCCCCCGCCUCCUUCCCUCCAUCCCUCCCAAAUAUCCCAGAACGAGUCAAACCUUUCGAAUCUCGUAGCACAGAUAACAAGCAACUCAGUAAGACUGGACGGGGAUGACUGAGGGCCAACUCAUUACAGGACUACAGGAAACUCCUUAGUCCUAAACCCGAAUGC